AGCUAUAGGGUAGGGGGAAUUCCGAGAAAGGGGUCAAUUACGGGAACCUUCAGUUACAAAGGGUGGGGACUUCGGGGAAGUGGGACCAUGGAUUGUUCAAAGGGGUAGGGUCUGUUCCGCGAAAGGGGUCAAUUACGGGAACCUUCAGUUACAAAGGGUGGGGACUUCGGGGAAGUGGGACCAUGGAUUGUUCAAAGGGGUAGGGUCUGUUCCGCACCAGACGUUUAUCUUGGUUCCUGCCUCUCAGGAAUGUUUAAGGCGACCUUUUGACCUGUCUUGGUUAGCUGACUCUGCUAGGGGUUGGGCUCUUAGAGCUUCUUACUACUUUUCCUAACACAAACAAAGAUACUCACAAAAAAAAGAAAGAAAAAUGAAAAGCCUGGAAGGGACUAAGUGAAAUCAUGUGUCUACCGUAAAGCCGACGUCCGGAAUAUAUAAAGAACUCUCAAAGCUCAGUAAAAAGAAAACAACCCAUGUAAAUGUAAAUUUUUUUCAC
rnacentral:lncRNA from 1 species